UCUUGUAGUCUUGAGCUUCCAUCUAAUUCACAGCAACAGUAAGAAUGGCUUCUAUCAACAUCAUUUGGAUAAUCUUCAAACUGCUUUUCUUCACACUGCUUCUCAUCACUACCUCUACAGCUUUCCAACCCCAACUUCAUGAACCUCGCUUUCGUAAGAAGAUGAGGAUGGAGUAUAGAAGUGUUAGAAAGGGUGCGUUGGGAGCAAAGCCAGCAGUUUAUGAUUUCCCUUGGAAAGGUGGUUAUAAUCCUCCUGACAACAACCGUUGACUUCCCUAUAUUAUUGGAAUACCCGAUAUAUCUUCUCUUUUAUGCGCUUCCUUAUUCUUAAUAAUUGUUUUCCUUUUUUCUCUUUGUUCUCUCUAUGUCGUCUUGUUUGUUUCCUAUUAACCCUUUCUGAUCAUAAUAAACAAUAUUGUAACUUAACAUAAAAUAAAUGAUAAGUUAACUAACGAGUACGUACUAUAUGUUAAUUUAAUUGAGA